rnacentral:rRNA from 1 species
CCUACGGGAGGCAGCAGUGGGGAAUUUUGGACAAUGGGCGCAAGCCUGAUCCAGCCAUGCCGCGUGUGGGAAGAAGGCCUUCGGGUUGUAAACCACUUUUGUCAGGGAAGAAACGGUCUGAACUAAUACUUUGGACUAAUGACGGUACCUGAAGAAUAAGCACCGGCUAACUACGUGCCAGCAGCCGCGGUAAUACGUAGGGUGCAAGCGUUAAUCGGAAUUACUGGGCGUAAAGCGUGCGCAGGCGGCUUUGCAAGACAGAUGUGAAAUCCCCGGGCCCAACCUGGGAACUGCAUUUGUGACUGCAUGGCUAGAGUACGGUAGAGGGGGAUGGAAUUCCGCGUGUAGCAGUGAAAUGCGUAGAUAUGCGGAGGAACACCGAUGGCGAAGGCAAUCCCCUGGACCUGUACUGACGCUCAUGCACGAAAGCGUGGGGAGCAAACAGGAUUAGAUACCCUGGUAGUCCACGCCCUAAACGAUGUCAACUGGUUGUUGGACGGCUUGCUGUUCAGUACGAAGCUAACGCGUGAAGUUGACCGCCUGGGGAGGUAACGGUCGCGAGUUAGUAACGUUACGAAGUAGAGUUGACGGCGNGAGACGNGCGACGGACGACGACGAGGGAGGAGG